GAUGAACGCUGGCGGCGUGCCUAAUACAUGCAAGUCGAGCGAACGGACGAGAAGCUUGCUUUUCUGAUGUUAGCGGCGGACGGGUGAGUAACACGUGGAUAACCUACCUAUAAGACUGGGAUAACUUCGGGAAACCGGAGCUAAUACCGGAUAAUAUUUUGAACCGCAUGGUUCAAAAGUGAAAGACGGUCUUGCUGUCACUUAUAGAUGGAUCCGCGCUGCAUUAGCUAGUUGGUAAGGUAACGGCUUACCAAGGCAACGAUGCAUAGCCGACCUGGGAGGGUGAUCGGCCACACUGGAACUGAGACACGGUCCAGACUCCUACGGGAGGCAGCAGUAGGGAAUCUUCCGCAAUGGGCGAAGGCCUGACGGAGCAACGCCGCGUGAGUGAUGAAGGUCUUCGGAUCGUAAAACUCUGUUAUUAGGGAAGAACAUAUGUGUAAGUAACUGUGCACAUCUUGACGGUACCUAAUCAGAAAGCCACGGCUAACUACGUG
rnacentral:rRNA from 1 species